AGAAGACUAAGCACAUUGGAAAAGACUAAAGUCUGACACUAUCUCGCAUCUAACGUCAAAGACGUUCAUAAUGUGUAAAGACUGGGGAUCUGGAGGGUCACACAUUGCAAGAAUACAACUAGAUUGGUUUUCGAAAAUUUAACCAAGCUAGCUACCUAGCUACUACUAGCGUUAGCUGGUAACUUAAGGAAAAUGCCGAUGCUAAAUAGGA